CCUACGGGAGACAGCAGUGAGGAAUAUUGGUCAAUGGACGAGAGUCUGAACCAGCCAAGUCGCGUGAAGGAUGACUGCCCUGUGUGUUGUAAACUUCUUUUAUAUGGGAAUAAAGUGUUCCACGUGUGGGAGUUUGUAUGUACCAUAUGAAUAAGGAUCGGCUAACUCCGUGCCAGCAGCCGCGGUAAUACGGAGGAUCCGAGCGUUAUCCGGAUUUAUUGGGUUUAAAGGGAGCGUAGGUGGAUUGUUAAGUCAGUUGUGAAAGUUUGCGGCUCAACCGUAAAAUUGCAGUUGAAACUGGCAGUCUUGAGUACAGGAGAGGUGGGCGGAAUGCGCGGUGUAGCGGUGAAAUGCUUAGAUAUCACGAAGAACUCCGAUUGCGAAGGCAGUUCACUGGACUGCAACUGACACUGAGGCUCGAAAGUGUGGGUAUCAAACAGGAUUAGAUACCCGGGUAGUC
rnacentral:rRNA from 1 species